rnacentral:lncRNA from 1 species
CUUUAAGAAGGAAGGAUGUUUCUUCAUCGUCUCUGGGGAUGAAUUCACUCUGCAUCCAUAGAAAUGGGAAAUCUAUGUGCGGUCUGGUUCUGGAAGGAAGAAAAAUGGGCUGUGUUGAUCACUCGACCGAGGACCAUUUCUAAAAGCAUGCUGAAGGUAAUUUUCAUUACAUUAGUCAGAAUAAGAGAAGCUGUGCUAUGAUAACAAAUUAAUUUUYAAGU